GACGAACGCUGGCGGCGUGCUUAACACAUGCAAGUCGAACGGAAAGGCCCUGCUUUUGUUGGGUGCUCGAGUGGCGAACGGGUGAGUCACAAGUGAGUAACCUGCCCCUUACUUUGGGAUAACUUCAAGAAACUGGGGCUAAUACCGUAUAGGCCCUCCUGCUGCAUGGUGGUGGUUGGAUCGUUUCGGCGGUUGGGGAUGGACUCGCGGCUUAUCAGCUUGUUGGUGGGGUAGUGGCUUACCAAGGCUUUGACGGGUAGCCGGCCUGAGAGGGUGACCGGCCACAUUGGGACUGAGAUACGGCCCAGACUCCUACGGGAGGCAGCAGUGGGGAAUAUUGCACAAUGGGCGGAAGCCUGAUGCAGCAACGCCGCGUGCGGGAUGACGGCCUUCGGGUUGUAAACCGCUUUCGCCUGGGACGAAGCGUGAGUGACGGUAAUGGGUAAAGAAGCACCGGCUAACUACGUG
rnacentral:rRNA from 1 species